UCCCCUAUAGCGUAGUUUGGUUAGCGCGUCUGACUGUUAAUCAGGAGGUCGGAAGUUCGAACCUCUUCCUAGGGGAG
rnacentral:tRNA from 1 species